AUAUAUCAUCAUAAGCAAACUCAUCAUAAAUUAUAGAUUCAUAAAGGAUCCUCUUUUCAUUAUUACGGGUGUUCUGAAUCUACCUGAAGGUUUUAAAGCACCUGGAUCCUGCCACAACCACCCCUACUUGGUGUCCAGAGGCAAGGAACUGUUGCCAUCCAUGGUAUUCCCUGUUCAUGAGUUACAACAUAUGGAGAGUAUGGGGUGUGACAAAGGGGCACGCCUACAAGAAUGUGGAGGCGGAGGGAGGUGAGAAGCCCAACCUGUUCCCAGAUGAGACUACAAUGCAGCAGCCUCAGAUCAGAUCCCGGCUGGCAGUAAAGUCCAUGGAAGGGGCCCGAGCUCACAGGCAAUUUAUAGGAGAUAAUUUCUGAAUAGAUAACAAUCAUAAACAGUCAACUGUAAAACUAUAAAACAGUGUACCAUCCACAAAUAAUCAAGGAAGACUGCGAUAUCAGGCAAGUAAUAUAAAAGUGGAUUCCUAUAGUGCCAUGUUGCAAGUUUGUGUGAGAUAGUUGGGGGAGGAAAGAAACCUGAAAACACUGGGUGAUGAAACAGAAUUCAUUUGGCUCACAUGAGACAGAUGACAUUCACUGUCAGGGAAGGGCUGAUAAGGAUGUUAAAAUUGUUUCAAGUGGCUCCGUGCCAAUGCACCAGUUCUCUUAGUAAGAGAUGAGACCAAAGAGAGGAAGAUAUAAAAUGACUUCUUUAGGGUCACAACCAGAACUGAUUAAAAUAUGAAUGUGUAACUAAAGAGAGAUGAAUGGACAUAUAUAUAUAUCCUACAUAUAACCAUCCUUCUGCUAGCUAAAAAUACAACUAUUUAAACUAUGAUGGGAAACUAGGCCAAGAAAAUCUUUUUCUUUCUCUCCUACACACCUUACUUAACUGGCAGCAAUAACUUCACAGAGAAACUGAUACCACUUCUAUUAACAUUUAUAUUUGAAUUAAAACAUAAAAAAACCCAGCAAACUCACAUUUCCUGACUAACAUUGACAACAGCAGUGAUUUGAGCUGAAUGACAAGAAAUUUUAGCCACUACAAAAAUGAAAAUUAGAUUCUCCCCUACUGGCAACUAAUUUCUAGAUAAUAAUAUUAAAAUUUAGCAGUUUCAAACACAUAUUAGUGGUAUGCAAAAUAUACUGCCAAAUACUAUGCCCAAAAUCCAUGAUGAAUGUUGAAAUCAGUUUUAUUAUUAGUUACAUAUUUAAAAUGCUUGCUAUAUAUUUUGCCUAAACUUUCAUUAGAUAAAGUUCCAAACACAGAAUGGACAAUUAGCCUAGUUUUGCAGAUGCCUAACUUUUGGGAUAAAAUGUUUCUUGAUUUAGACCACUUUAAUCUCUCUGUAAUAUCACAAACCAUCAUAUUAGGCCUAAAAUUAAAUUUGUAUAUGUUGCAACUUUAAAUGUCUUUUUUCUUUCUUUCACUUCUUCUUUUUACUUACAAGGGAACAUAACUUGAUGAUGGUUAUGAACUUAGUACAAAAGUGGCUGGAAAAACUAAUCAACUCCUUGGAAUCACGGAGCCGAGCACAAAAGGGUUCUUUUGAACGUGAAACCAAAUGCAAGGACUCCCAAAUGCCCCCAUCUCCAGCCUUGACCUCUUCUUAAACUCGAAGUUUUUAUCCAACAGCCUACUUGAACAUGAGCCUAGAAUGCCUAACAAGCAUCUCAAACAACGUGUCUAAAACAGAGAGUGAAUUCCUCUCUGCAUCCUGCUCCUUCCCAGACUUGCACAUUUUAGUAAAUGGCACCACUAGCCUCCGAUAUGCUUACACCAAAACCUUAAGAGUGUUUCUAAACUCCUCUUUUUCCUUCCUUCAAUCAUGACAUCCUUUUCAUCAGCAAACCCUACUGACUUUAUCUCCCAAACAUCAUAGAUUUGUCCAGCUCUCUUCGUCUCCACCACCCCCAUAGUCCAAUUUACUGUCACUGCUCACUUGAAUGACUUCCAUAACCUAGUUCUUCUCCCUACUUCAACAUUUGCCUGACAACAGCCUCCUCUCCACCCAGCAGCUAGUUAUAUUUUAUAAAAUAUAAAGCAGAACAUGUCAUUCCCCUGAUCAAAACCUUCCAUUGUCUUCUUCCCACUGCAUUACAGAUAAACUUCAGACUGCUUACCAUGCCCAACGGCACCCGAUGUGGCAUGGUCCCUGCCUGCCUCUCUGGGACAGAGCCCAUAACUGUUCCUUUCUCAUUAAUUCCAAUCCUAUAGGCCAAUGACUUUCUCCUGUUGAACAUGCCAGCCACACUCCUGCCUUAGAGCACUUGUGCUUGCUGCUCCCACUUCCUGGAAAGCUCUCUCUAGAUUUUUCUCACAGUGCUUUCUUCUUAUCAUUCAGUCUCAAUUCAUGUAUCACCUCAACGAGGCUUUUCCUAAGCCCUCAGCCACUCUACCAGAUCACAUGGUAUUGUUCCCAUCAAAGAACUUACCAUGCACCAUUUAUUUGUUUAUUGUCUACCUCUCCCACUCCACCAACCCUGAGGUUUGACCCAGACUUUCUCUCUCUGCAUUUCCUAUCUCAAUCCAGAAACAUGGAUCCUGCCCUUCCUCACUCUCAAACCCACCAAUCGACAGAUCCCACUAAAGCUGCCACUGCCAGCCAGCCAGCCUCCACUUGCACUCUCAUUUAUUGCCUGGAACUUUCCCCAAAAGUUUCCUCCAAAGCUCCCCUUAGCCACUCCUGCUUCCAUCCAAUCUAUUCUCAAACAAUAGUUGUGAAUUAUUUUUGAAAUGCAAAUAUCACCACUUCCCAAUUCAAAGCCAUUCAGUGGAUUCCCAUUGCGCUCAGAAUCACCUUCAUAAUCCUUACCAGGACUUACCUCAGUUAGAUCGGGCCCUUCCCAGCCUCUCCAACUUUGCCUCUGACAACUCUCCCCGUCAUUCUCCAUGCUCUAACUACACUGUUGAAGGACAUACUGUUUUUCAAAUGUGCAAGCCUCCUUCCCAACCCACAUCCUCACACAUGAUUUUAUGCAAAACUACUGCUAUCUCCCCAGUUGACCUGGUUCCCUCCCCUUCAUCCAUCCAUCCACCUGGUUUAACUUAAAACAGAUGCCCAUCCCAUAGGGCAGCAUUUUCUGACCUCAAAUAUGUGUGAGGCUGUACUCCCUUCAGGGUAAGCACCAGUAAGCUGUGUAAAGAUUAGGAGCGGGUUUGAUUCUCAAAGAAUUCUUACUGAGUGAAAGAAUGAAUGAAUAUAUAAGCCAAUGAAAUAAGAAAUAGCCUUGAAUGCAUAUUAAAGAACAGUAUACAAUUCCAAGGGUGGGUGCAGUGGCUCAGGCCUGUAAUCCCAGCACUUUGGGAGGCCAAGGA